GUCGGGUGUCGGCCGUGUGAAAGGUUUACUGAGGGCGUUGAGGCAGUGAGCGUCGAGCUAUCGCUGAGUGUGCUUGUGCUGUGACGAUCGUGUUGGUUUGUCAUCUGCAGGCAGGAUGAGGUUUGAAACUUACUUUGAUGACGAUUGGAUGAGCCUCAACUAAUCUCAGUGGUGCACUGGCUUCAUACUUAACCAAGCUUGUAGGCAUGUUCUCAUCCCUGAUGAAACCUGGUACUGUACUGAAAGUAGUGGAAUGGGCUCCGUCAAGCAUGCUGAGGCUUUGGUUUCGGGAUUAGUGGAUUAUAGUGAACCAGUUUCCGCAACAAAAUUUAACUCAGACGUAUGCAUCCGACACACUGCUUCGUCGCUAUAUUGGUAACAGUAACGACUCAACGAUAUUACGUAAGACAGGACUUCGGUGCAUGGUAGCGAUGAUACAACGGCUGCCAGGACCUCUGUACAGGUGGGCGACGUGGUGCAGGCGUGUCAUCCCCAAACUCAUGGCCUCCCACAGAUACAGAGCCGUGCUGCUGGUGUCGCUCAUCAUGGGCAGUGUCCUCGUGUUGUCCGUCCCCAUCGUGCCUGAGAAACUCCUUGGCAUCAGAACACGUGAACAAAUCCUGGACUCCUUCAACGGCCGCCACAGCAACUCAAGCCUCGGUGAUGGUGAAGAGGGCGCAUUUCAACAACCUUUCACUGAUGAUAAGAUUCAUCAUGUCUUUAAGAGGCAUAUUCCUCACAAAUUUUGGGCUCGUGCAAGGCCGCACAAUAAAUAUAGAAAGAAAAAACAGAAGUCACAUGGCCAUUUAUCUGAUGGCCAUGGCCAUCAGAUGCUACAGAGAGAUUUCAUCGCGCCAAAAAAAUAACAGUUAUAAGCAUCUAUGAUUACACGGCAAUGAUCACCAUUUUCAGUAAUCAUAUCAUGAUAUUCAUAAUUUUCAUCUAGUCAUUUAAAAAAAAAUUCUAAUCGCAGAAGUUAUUCUCGUGAACGGUCUUCUUGAGAAGACUAAGGUCAUAAUCCCUGACACUUGCUAAUAGUGAAGGGGAAUGUGCCCUACAUACUUUAACCUGUGAUAUCAGGGAGAAUAAUGCUAUGCCACUUGAGUGAAGACUCCCUAAGCUACACACACGCACACAAUUAAAAAAAUAAAUAAA